UGCUAUAACUGUGCGGACUAGUUCAAAACGGACAAUUCUCCGUGAGCCUCGCAGUCGAAGGUUGGUUCUUUCCACUGUCGUCGGAUCCCGGAUCUUGCAUUUCUCGACGUCGAUGGCGGCCAUGGAGGAGUUGAGUUAGCUCGCGCAGUCCACAAGUCGCCGCCCUCCUCGCGGACGAGGACUUCGAUGAAAGAUCGUACAAGCGGCGGAUUUCCACCUUCCUCAACGUCGUCGUUCUCGGCAACGUUGGUGCUGGUAAAUCAGCAAUGUAGAACAGCUUGAUCGGACAUUCCGUAUUGGUAUGGUGAACUUGGAAUUGUACUUCUAGUUUGUUCAUGUUUCAUCAUUUGCGACCUGCACCUUUCUGUUGAUUCGAGAGGCAUUAAUUGUUUACUGAAAUCAACUGGAGAAAAUGGUUUCACUCGGUCUCUUGAGAUGGCUCUAUCAGUGUUGAUUUGCAAAGAGAUGGCUCUCUGAGCAUUAAAUCAAUCAUCCUGCAAAUAGAUGACAAAUCCCAACAGGUUUCUGCAAGACCAGCUAAGCAAGGGCACAGAAACUCAUAGUUCAGUAAAGAGCCGUGCAGAUGUGAUCUAUAUGAAACCCUGGACGGGUACAGAUUACAAGUCCCAGAUUGUUCAUGAUGAUUGUUUAGGCUUGGAGAACAAAUGGUGCAAAGUGCUGAAGGUACCAGGGCUAUUGCACUAGAGCUAUGUCAAGAAUUUGAAGGUCAUUUACGGGUAGGGGUUGCAUUUUUACAUGGAAGGCAGAACUUUAGGCAGGGAUAGUCGCGAGGCUGGCGUGUGCGAUGGGCUGCCGUGAUAAUCUACUGAUCGACUGACAGCGUUGUCGGGCUACGUUGUGCGACUCGCGACUGCACACCGCAAUGGUCGUAGGUAAUGCGUGGCGGAAGGGCGCCCGUGAAGACUCGCACGUCUGGGCGCACUCGUGGGUGGCAACGGACAGCGAUAGCUUUUCGCGUGAGAUGGGUGCGAUGGAACACAGUGACGGUUGUGAGAAGAGGGGAUUAGGAUUUCUUCACCCAUUAAAAGACACU